rnacentral:rRNA from 1 species
GACGACGCUGGCGGCGUGCUUAAUACAUGCAAGUCGAGCGAGGUUACUGUUUUGGAUCCCUUCGGGGUGAAGAAGCUUUAACCUAGCGGCGGACGGGUGAGUAACGCGUGGGUAACCUACCCCAGAGUCCGGGAUAACAGCGGGAAACCGCUGCUAAUACCGGAUGCCUUUACCUUGGGGCAUCUUGAGGUAAAGAAAGGUAACGCUUUGGGAUGGGCCCGCGUCCCAUUAGCUAGUUGGUGAGGUAACGGCUCACCAAGGCGACGAUGGGUAGCCGGCCUGAGAGGGUGGACGGCCACACUGGGACUGAGACACGGCCCAGACUCCUACGGGAGGCAGCAGUAGGGAAUAUUGCGCAAUGGACGGAAGUCUGACGCAGCGACGCCGCGUGAGCGAUGAAGGUCUUCGGAUCGUAAAGCUCUGUCCUUGGGGAAGAAGGUCUUCGGACUUGACGGUACCCAAGAAGAAAGCCCCGGCUAACUACGUG